rnacentral:rRNA from 1 species
GACAGAGGGUGCAAACGUUGUUCGGAAUCAUUGGGCGUAAAGCGCACGUAGGCGGCGCGUUAAGUCGGGUGUGAAAGCCCUGGGCUCAACCCAGGAAGUGCAUUCGAAACUGGCGCGCUUGAAUAUGGAAGAGGGUCGCGGAAUUCCCGGUGUAGAGGUGAAAUUCGUAGAUAUCGGGAGGAACACCAGUGGCGAAGGCGGCGACCUGGGCCAAUAUUGACGCUGAGGUGCGAAAGCGUGGGGAGCAAACAGG